AUUGAACGCUGGCGGCAUGCCUUACACAUGCAAGUCGAACGGCAGCACGGGAGCAAUCCUGGUGGCGAGUGGCGAACGGGUGAGUAAUAUAUCGGGACGUACCUUUCAGUGGGGGAUAACGUAGCGAAAGUUACGCUAAUACCGCAUAUUCUGUGAGCAGGAAAGCAGGGGAUCUUCGGACCUUGCGCUGAUUGAGCGGCCGAUAUCAGAUUAGCUAGUUGGUGAGGUGAAGGCUCACCAAGGCGACGAUCUGUAGCGGGUCUGAGAGGAUGAUCCGCCACACUGGAACUGAGACACGGUCCAGACUCCUACGGGAGGCAGCAGUGGGGAAUUUUGGACAAUGGGGGCAACCCUGAUCCAGCCAUGCCGCGUGAGUGAAGAAGGCCUUCGGGUUGUAAAGCUCUUUCAGCCGGGAAGAAAACGCAUGGGUUAAUACCCUGUGUGGAUGACGGUACCGGAAUAAGAAGCACCGGCUAACUACGUGCCAGCAGCCGCAGUAA
rnacentral:rRNA from 1 species